GUACACUUUUCUGUGUGGCCUUUGAAAUGA
rnacentral:piRNA from 1 species